GUGCACCAGGCGAGAAACUUUACAAUGUGCGAAAGCACGAUAAGGGAACUCUGAGUGCCUCCUAAGGAGGCUGUUCAGGUGUCUAAAAGCACCUGGAGUAAGGGCUGGGUAAGACCGGUGCCAGCCGCCGCGGUAACACCGGCAGCCCAGGUGGUAGCCACUUUUAUUGGGUCUAAAGCGUCCGUAGCCGGUUGAGUAAGUUCCUUGGGAAAUCUGGCUGCUCAACAGUCAAGCUUCCAGGGAAUACUGCUCGACUUGGGGACUGGGAGAGGUCAGAGGUACUCCAGGGGUAGGGGUGAAAUCCAUUAAUCCCUGGGGGACCACCGGUAGCGAAGGCGUCUGACCAGACCAGGUCCGACGGUGAGGGACGAAGGCUAGGGUCGCGAACCGGAUUAGAUA
rnacentral:rRNA from 1 species